GACCUCGGAUCAGGUAGGAAUACCCGCUGAACUUAAGCAUAUCA
rnacentral:rRNA from 9 species